AUUUGUGAAAUUAUUCCAUAACCAAUAAAUUUGUUACUUCUGUGAUUAUAUUGAUGCCAGAAGAUCAAUUCACAUUGCUGUUCUUGUUCCUUUUGACUGUAGCUUUUUAUUGUUGACUGUCUUUUUCUCUUUUAUAAUUAUCACAUGAAAAUCUGAUAUAAGAUCUGUGUUCAAUUUUCCGAGAUAUCCCAGGUAAUUUCAGUCAGAAUGGUUGCAUAUGGGAGCAGUAAAUAGUUUUGGAGUAGUAUACUAUAUGGUUGGCCUUUUACCUUUCUUUGUUUGCUCUCUUUUUUUUUUCGAGUGUUUCGGUUCAUUCACCUUUUUUUAGCAAUAAUCGAACGGUUAUUAAUUGCCUAGCUAGUUUGUAUUAAAUCUUCAUAUUAUUUGCCAAGUGGAUGCCAUUUUUGGGUCGCAUGCAUCAUGCCAUGUUAUUUUAGUAUUACGACUUGCGACUUUGUUAUUGUUAUUGUUGUGCUUCAACAUGUCCAUCAGCACCAAGUCAUAUCUAAUAAACCAACGGGUACUUGCCAUUAUGCACUGGAUGAAUGCAGUGGCAUGAAUAAAGCACCCCAUCCUGCUCUUGUACACAGUGUGUUUGUGGUGUGCAUGAGAGUUAAGACAGCAUGGUACUUUGGUGGUUUUCACCAUCGUACAUAAAAGAAUGGGAGCUGUGCAACUUUUUCGCAAUCAAUCUUACACUCAAGUCUAGCCCUGCUUUCUUGUAAUGAGAAGCUUAUUUUGAACUCAUGUCAUCACGACAUUUUGUUAGACUAAAAUGAGGAUAACAUAUUUAGAAAGGAAAGCUGAUUCUUACAAAGGAGAUUUCUCAACAGAACCCCCUUUUUUUCUCAGGUCUUAUUUCAAUAUUUCUUAGCAAGAUGUAUUUCAUCCAAAUAUUAACAGCAACAGGAGCAUCUGCCUUGACAUCCUUAAGGAGCAGGGCAGCCCUGCUCUUCAAUGUCUAAGGAAAAAGUUGAUAGUCCUUCCAUCUGCGGGAGUAGUUUCAUUUUCCUGCUUGUCCAACUAUUCCAACUUGUGUUGCAUUUCUUGCCAAAAUGCUGAAAUAAAUGGAUGGUUUUGUAUUAGUUAAAUUGUACAACCCGAUGCAAUUUGAAAAAACCUUGAUUUGUAUGUAGUCAAGUAAUCUUAAAUCUACUCAAUGAAUAGCCUUUUGCUUUUAAUUCCUUGUUAAUUACUGCUGGAAUUUUGAAGUUGUGAUGCCGUUGAGCCAUUCUCACCUAUUAGAGGUGUAUUUAAAAUGGGCUUUUUUGUUCGUGCUACUUCUUGAAACAAUAAUAACAUGCUAAAUCAGGUCUUUAAUCUGAGCUAUUCUCUUGUUUUCCUUUGAUUUCUAGUGUCUUUGCAUUCUCUGAUCAUUAUUCUAGUUGACACAUCCUAGAUUACAAAGCAAUUGUAUCUUCUUUUUUGUCCUAGAAAGAAAUUUGUUGAAAGAGGUGGAAUCAAAUGAAAAGCAUUUUUGCAAACAAGUGGAAGUCCUUUCAAAAUGCUAUUGCCCCGAGAUGAUUGAGUAGAGAAAAUGAAGAACUUAGCAAGUGUAACUUUUUUUUUUUUACUGUGUGAAGUGUAUUUGUAUUAACAGGUCAGACAAAUUGUUUUGUGGUGCAAUAUAUUUUU